AUUGAACGCUGGCGGCAUGCCUUACACAUGCAAGUCGAACGGUAACGCGGGGCAACCUGGCGACGAGUGGCGAACGGGUGAGUAAUGUAUCGGAACGUGCCCAGUUGUGGGGGAUAACUGCUCGAAAGAGCAGCUAAUACCGCAUACGACCUGAGGGUGAAAGCGGGGGAUCGCAAGACCUCGCGCAGUUGGAGCGGCCGAUAUCAGAUUAGGUAGUUGGUGGGGUAAAGGCUCACCAAGCCAACGAUCUGUAGCUGGUCUGAGAGGACGACCAGCCACGCGGGGACUGAGACACGGCCCAGACUCCUACGGGAGGCAGCAGUGGGGAAUUUUGGACAAUGGGCGCAAGCCUGAUCCAGCCAUGCCGCGUGCGGGAAGAAGGCCUUCGGGUUGUAAACCGCUUUUGUCAGGGAAGAAAAGACUCCUGUUAAUACCGGGGGUUCAUGACGGUACCUGAAGAAUAAGCACCGGCUAACUACGUGCCAGCCGCCGCCGUAA
rnacentral:rRNA from 1 species